AGGGCAGGGAUGAGUAUGUAUAGGAUCUACCUAGUAGUAUGGAAUAAUUGUUGGAAACGACAACUAAUACCGUAUACGCCCUACGGGGGAAAAAUUUAUUGCUAUUGGAUGAGCCUAUAUUAGAUUAGCUAGUUGGUGGGGUAAUAGCCUACCAAGGCAAUGAUCUAUAGCUGAUCUGAGAGGAUGAUCAGCCACACUGGAACUGAGAUACGGUCCAGACUCCUACGGGAGGCAGCAGUGGGGAAUAUUGGACAAUGGGCGAAAGCCUGAUCCAGCCAUGCCGCAUGAGUGAAGAAGGCCUUUGGGUUGUAAAGCUCUUUUAGUGAGGAAGAUAAUGACGGUACUCACAGAAGAAGUCCUGGCUAACUCCGUGCCAGCAGCCGCGGUAAUACGGAGAGGGCUAGCGUUAUUCGGAAUUAUUGGGCGUAAAGGGCGCGUAGGCUGGUUAAUAAGUUAAAAGUGAAAUCCCGAGGCUUAACCUUGAAAUUGCUUUUAAAACUAUUAAUCUAGAGAUUGAAAGAGGAUAGAGGAAUUCCUGAUGUAGAGGUAAAAUUCGUAAAUAUUAGGAGGAACACCAGUGGCGAAGGCGUCUAUCUGGUUCAAAUCUGACGCUGAAGCGCGACGGCGUGGGGAGCAAACAGGAUUAGAUACCCUGGUAGUCCACGCUGUAAACGAUGAAUGUUAAAUAUGGGAAGUUUACUUUCUGUAUUACAGCUAACGCGUUAAACAUUCCGCCUGUGGACUACGGUCGCAAGAUUAAAACUCACAGGAAUUGACGGGGACCCGCACAAGCGGUGGAGCAUGUGGUUUAAUUCGAUGCAACGCGAAAAACCUUACCACUUCUUGACAUGAAAACUUACCCUUUUCAAA
rnacentral:rRNA from 5 species